rnacentral:lncRNA from 1 species
AUGCGUGUACAUCCUCAUGAUCUCGAGACAGAUCAGGAGACUCCUUCAGCUUUAGGACAUUUUACGUCAUCUGGACCACCUCCAGCCCAGCACAGAUGUGGUAGUCAAUGACAUGCUACCUCUCCAUUUCCGAUGGCAGAGUUUCCUUCAUAUUCUCUAUACAUGUCAUCAGCUGCAUAUAUACACAUGAUGUUAUGAACUAGUUCACCACUGUUUCGAAGGC